CCUACGGGAGGCAGCAGUGGGGAAUAUUGCACAAUGGAGGAAACUCUGAUGCAGCGACGUCGCGUGAACGAUGAAGGCUUUCGAGUCGCAAAGUCCUGUCCUAGGGGACGAUAAUGACGGUACCCUAGGAGGAAGCCCCGGCUAACUACGUGCCAGCAGCCGCGGUAAU
rnacentral:rRNA from 1 species